AGAGUUUGAUCCUGGCUCAGGACGAACGCUGGCGGCGUGCCUAAUACAUGCAAGUCGAACGCUGCUUAAGAAGAAACUUCGGUUUUUUCUUAAGCGGAGUGGCGGACGGGUGAGUAACACGUGGGAACCUAUCCAUCAGCGGGGGAUAACACUUGGAAACAGGUGCUAAUACCGCAUAUGGCUUUUUUUCACCUGAAAGAAAGCUCAAAGGCGCUUUACAGCGUCACUGAUGGCUGGUCCCGCGGUGCAUUAGCCAGUUGGUGAGGUAACGGCUCACCAAAGCAACGAUGCAUAGCCGACCUGAGAGGGUGAUCGGCCACACUGGGACUGAGACCGGCCCAGACUCCUACGGGAGGCAGCAGUAGGGAAUCUUCGGCAAUGGACGCAAGUCUGACCGAGCAACGCCGCGUGAGUGAAGAAGGUUUUCGGAUCGUAAAGCUCUGUUGUCAGCAAAGAACAGGAGAAAGAGGAAAUGCUUUUUCCAUG
rnacentral:rRNA from 1 species